rnacentral:lncRNA from 1 species
UUCAGUUUAAAACAAAGCGAAAAAGCGUCUGAAUUUUUUUUUGAAAACCUAACCCCAGAGUAUGCCAGAUUCGCCACAAAUACAGGGAAUCCACUGUUCACACGAACAGAGUCUCCCCUGUAUUUGCACGGUGUCGCACAAGUACAAGAAGUCAUCUAGGCACAACCACAACAAACGAACAUACAAAUAACCAACCGUUAUAUAUAUUCAUACACCAUUCACUACAGAUUCACAUUUAUGCAUAAAUCCACACCUAUCAGUUAAAAUGUUUCCAACCACAGAAACAGGUUUUGAAAUACUAAGAUGCAAAAUCCACAGAAACCUUUUGAAAACUGUUUCCUACACGAAAACCUUUAUUCUUUAAAAACGCUACCACGAGGGGUAGAAAACCUUUUAUUUCAAGAAAACACAAAUCCUUUAUUACAUUCCAAAACCAACUGAAAACUCAGAUAUUCAGAUAAUAACACAAAACUGAACCAUGUAAACCGACUAAACUAUAAAUCAACAGAAAUAAUAAGGGUAAUAACUAAAUCGAAAUAACCUGGGUCGGAAGCUCUAUCGACCGCUACACACGUACCUCACAUCUCGUCCUACUAUUCAUCGCCCGCGAUACCUGAAAAAAUGGUGGGGGAGGUGAGAACAUGUAAACAUGUCUCCCCUCCCAGUGGGUACCGCAAGCCGAUGAAGGCGAGGAGUACUCACCGGAUCAGGAAG